GAUGAAAGUAACUCUUAUUUAUAGUUACCUUUGAUGCCUCACGAUUGUGGGACAUCAAAACCAUGCCAUAUAUAUAUAUAUAUUAAGAUAUAUAUAUUAAGAUAUAUAUAUUAAGAUAUAUAUAUAUAUAUAUUAAGAUUUACAUUUGCGGCUGACCGUAAAACAGCAAACUUCAAAUUGCAUUUGAAGGAAAGUUCUACGACUAAGUAGCUAAUACAUGCUUCAAUUUUAAUGUACAAAUUGUCCUAACUUAGCGAACAGUUGACUUCAAAAUUAGCUGUCUCCGUAAACGUCGAUCUUAAGUUCUUUAUUAUAUACAAAUUAUCUCUAAUCCUUAUAUAUUUAGCCUAGUUUCUAAAUAGCAUUACUAUACUUAUAUUUAAUUAACACUGUAAAGUUUUUUGUAGUUUAGCAGGACCCUACUAAAAAACACAUUAUUGUGACGUAGGCUUCCUGAUUAAAAAUUGCUUGAAUUGAAUCUUUUUCCCUAAUUUCCGUCCGAACACCGAUUGGUUUGUAACGCUAUUAUAGAAAUUAGCAAAGUCAUAAGUAUCUCCAAAAUCCGAAAUGUUGUCUGAAAAGCCCACCACGACCAACUGUCAGUGUAUUCAGCAUCAGACAACACGCUGCUCUCUCCAAAUAUCACAGCGUAUAAACUCACGCCAAAUAUACACAGACCCAAAGAGGACGACGCAUAACACUUGAUUAUUAGCCAUUUAAGUUUCACUGGAUGUUGUUGUUGCGUUUUUGAGUUCGAUUCGAUAUCUUCGAAGGUCGCUGUUAAAUUUUUUCGAGUCCUGUGGGCAGCUAUGAAAUAUCCAAUCGUAAUGACCACUCCUCAAAGUAAAAGUGUAACUUGGCAUAGAAGCAAUAACACUUUAGCAGAGCCGUUGAAUGCGACAAUGAUAUCAGCCAUAAGCACAAAUAUAAAGGUACCUGCUGUUAUUAUAAUCAAUACUGUAAGAUUUUGAAAUUUUGGU